rnacentral:rRNA from 1 species
GUAACUGCGAGUGAAGAGGGAAGAGCUCAUCAUUGGAAUCUGGCAGUGUUGCACUGUCCGAGUUGUAGAUGAGGAGUAGCCCAUCUGGACUGCAUGGCAUCCAAGUACAAUAGGCCGUCAGUGGGACAUCAUAGAGGGUGACAAUCCCGUCCUUGAUGCCAAUGUGCAAGUCCGCUUACGAUGGCUAUCUCAGAGAGUCGAGCAGUUUGGGAUUUGCUGCUUAAACAUGGGAGGUAGAUUCCUUCUAAAGCUAAAUACAGGCGAGAGACCGAUAGAGAACAAGUACCGCAAGGGAAAGAUGAAAUAGAACUCUGUGAAGGGAGUCAAAAGGCGUGAAAUUGUUGCGAGAGAAGCGAUUCAAGUCAGCGUAGCUAGGCCCAUCAAGCCUCUUUGCUUUGGACUAGCUUUGCCAGCGGUCUUGUCCUAGAGACUUGACUUUGUAUUAACAUGUCCAGCCUGGUAUACACAGGUAGCCCCUCUUGGGGGGCCAGUGGCAUGGCU